UUAUCUGCUAUAUCUUUUGAAAAGAGGAAUAAAUUAUCUGCGAAAGUUAAUUUCAAUAUUUAUUUAUAUUGUUGCUAUGACUUUUGUAUUUGGUCGUAUUAUGUUUAACGAGCAGCACUCUCGCAGAACUCGUAAAUCGGCCUUUAUCCGCGUGCCAAAUUUCAUCCCAAUUCAUACAUUGGUUUAUGUGUUAAUCGUUAACAUCCAGACAAUUCCAAAAACCUUUACAUUAUAAUAGGAUUAAAGGGAUGAUACCAACUCAUAUUUUACAAUAUAAAGAUGAGUACCCCACGCUCCGCAAGACUACAAUGGCCCAGUCUAGACGUCCACAGUGCGCAUAAAUCUGGAGUACUCAGUGUCUUCUGAAGAUAGACAUUUUUCUGCAUAUAGAUGACCUUCUUCACCUAGAGUGCAUUGAAUAUGAGGAAUCUCUACAGCUAAUUUUAAACACGAAUGGACUUUAGAAAUUGGAAACAACUUUUGGAUUAUAGUGCUUUAUAAAAAUUCUUAUUUGCAACAAUUUGUAAACAUAAUUGUAAGCUAUGUGAUGUGAAAUAAAACACUGAUUGUUUUGUUCGGUCGCAGUUGCAGUAGAACUGGUUAAGUCCAAAAUUAAUAAGAUAGCUGAUUUGGUUGUUUUCGGACAGUGAUGAUGGGCAUUUCUGUCAGUAGUAACCUAUCCAUUGUGGAUUCCAAGAAACAAAUAUGCAGUCUUAUAAAAAAUUCGCAAAGCUAUGCUUAGUUAAAACACAAAUUUAAUCGCUCAGCUGUAAGUCAAAACCUGUCAUGUUGCCUCUUAAUAAUGUUACAACUAGGAAAUCGGUGAUGUUUUUGACAGCUUUUUAAGCAAUUCUUAACUAACUCUUAACGCUAAAAUAAGUUUAUAAGUAAGAUUAAUUGUGUUUAAAGGACAUAUUUUUAAUAAUGCAUCAAGUCGACGAGCGCAGUCACUGAACUAGGCACGCUGGUUAAAGAGUUUCUUAAUGUAAAGUUCUCGCUAAUAUUACUUUUAAAAAUAUACCCUUGAAUUUCUUAUCUUGCCAUACACAAAACUUCGCAUCCAUUGUCUAAUUUUACUAAAUUCAUUGUAUUCAAACUCAUUAUUCGAGGGUUAGGGCAAAUAUUUCCGGGGUCAGAAAUGAUCCUCUUAAUGAUAUAUGUUAAUAAACCCAAUUAAGGCGGGUGGGUCAUCUUCGCUUCAGUGGAUUUGAUGAAAGUUAUUUAUGCCUUUAUGUUUGUCCUGACUAAAGGAUAUUUCAUUAGUUGCCUUCCCAUUAGUCAGUUUAUGUUUUGCGUCCAUUUAUCUGUCGACCUUCUAUUGGACUCUACUCCAAGUACCAUCAGGUGCAGUUGAGUCACUUUGUCGUGCAAGUACUAAAAAACUGACUUAUGAGAACAUUUUAUUGAUGGUGCUGUCACUAUUUAUUGACUAUCGUAGCGUUGCAGAUGAUGGAUAUGUCGUAUCUGUUGUUACAUAAAAACACAGCCAUUCACGUUAACGUUUGGAUUACUUUAGUCUUUUUUCUGUAACAAGGUUCCUUCUAUAUAGGUUCUAACGCAAUGUCGAUUUCUGCAGUCAGGCUUUAUAUAAACUCUACCGUUUUCCAGUUUGAAGGGCAUUGUCAGUAAAUAGGUAUUGUGCGACUUAUCUAUGUUGAUAGGAUGCAGGAAGUGCAAUGCGUUAUCGCAUAACACUUCGAAAUUCAAAAUUUUUCAUGAAGUCACCAUUAUUCAUAACGUUUGCCAUUGAACGAGCGACUUACUUAUCUUAAAUAUUAUUCAUACAGAUACUCACCAAUAAGCCUCGAUGGCUUAGUUGUAUUGCAUUACGAUAUUCGCUCUGAGGUCCCGAAUCCUGGGUCGGGCAAAAUGUUAUUGGGUUUCUCUCUCAAUAUCAACCCAGAGUCUGGAAUUUAGGCCCGAUAUGGUGAUGGGCUCGCUCUCUAUCAUAUCAUGGGACGGACCACGCUGUGAAAAAUAGAUGCCAUUGUUGCAUUUUUGCCUACUCCUGGGAUAACAAGUGAUUUAGUUUUGUUUGUAAACUAAUAAGCUACUACGUCAUAACUAAUAUAAUCAGUAAUCGACUAAAGUUCGCGUCAUAAUAAAGCAAAAACUAUUUAAUCUCAUCAGCUCUUCAUAUUUCGCUGAGAUGAAGUCCAUUAUGAUUAACCAGAAAACUUGAACGGACAAUAAAUUAGUUUAACGUCCAAUUUCCUCCGCUCAGCAUUUCAAAGUUUGCAUCUUCAGUUAUUUUUGGUUUUUUGCCAAUCCCAUUGCAGGUUUGUGUGCCGCAUUCGCGAUCAUAAAUGCGGAUUUAUCGCUUCGUAAACAUUUAAGAAUAUCUUGUACAUGGUUGGAAAUUAUUUAGAUUUGUAUUUCUUUUUUGGGGUCUUUCAUGCCUUGUUAAGUGACGGGACUUUCUUUUUCACUUUCCAUCUCCCUGAUAAGUGACUUUUUAUUAGGUAUUUUUUAUUUUCGGUCUUUUUCAAUUUUCGGUGCUAAAUAUGUUUUUGUUAGUUGAUUACUUUGUGACAGGUAAAGUUGGUGAUCGAAAUAUUAAAACUAAAUGUGCAGUUUGUUAGAAAAUAUUAAUUAAAUGUCACUAACAGGUGCUAGUCGAAAUAAAUUUUGCGAAAUAUGAAGUUAGACGUUUAAAAUGUCAAAAUGAUGUUAUUAACGUGCAAGUAACAAUGGCUUUAUUUUUUAGUUUCUAUUUUUUUAUUUAAUUCGUAAUUCUGGAUCUAUCUAAACUUACAUAUGACUAAAUUUUAACUCGAUCAAUCUGAACUCAUAUGCUUAUGUUCUUUCAAUUUAUAAUUUAUAUUAACAAAUUAAUAUGUCUUGAGGAUCAAAAUUGCGUUUUAUGUAUUUGCUUUUCGUUUUAUGUAAAUGUAUAUUAGCAGCUCAGGACAAAGGACUUCAUGUUCAUGCAAAGUUUAUGGAAUUAAAAUAAUUUGUAUAAUACCGAAUUGAAUACAUUAUUUUGUAAAUGUAUUUCUUAUUUAGGGUUAUUACCCAAGACGUCAUAUCCACCCAAUUCUAUAAACGUUUAUUUAUAUUCUCUCAAAGUUUUCUUAAAAAUGCUUUCCAACAUUUCUUCUUUAAUAACUCAUGACCAACAGUAACAUUGUUAAAGAUGUUAUAUCCACCGAAUUGCAUCGCAAAGGCACGUUGAUCCUCAAAUUCCUAUCGAUAAACUUAGAUUGCGGUACAUACUAAACCCGAGGGAUAUACAACCGGUAUGUUUAUAAACAAUUCCUAUUCACACUACAGCUAUUACUUUUGUAUUCUAUUAUUUCCGUCCCUUUCACUCCAACAUUCAAUUGUAUGCUAAAACGAAACAGAUGCAGAAUGACAAUAAUGCAAGCUUGCGAUAUGCAGAAUAAACCCGUUGAUGGUUUACGAUUUGUAAGGGAGCGAAUGAGAUGGAAAUAUGUAACGCUUUGGUUUAGUCGGUGGUGGACGGACAUGCGCGAGAGUUGAUUUAACUGUGCGAAUAGUGAUUUUAGUAUAGUGUAAGAAAUAUUAGUAGUAGUGACGAAUAUGUGAGAGAUGUUAGUGGCGUGUAUGUUCAUAAUUGGUUUAAUUAAUUAUACCAUUGUACGAGUUAGGAAUGUCUUGUGUAGUGAAAUACAUAAAGGAGCUGGGCAAAGUCGCUUCACUGCACUGAUGUUAAACGGAUUGAAACCCAAAGAAAAGGAUGACCAAAAUACAUGCAUCUUCAUACAGCAGGACAGUCAUGCCGUCCAGCAUAAUUACUUCUUCACGUUCCGCUUGAAGGACCUCAAGUUAGGAAGGAGGGGACAUUUAUGGCAAACACAUACCCAAUUAUAGGUGUAUAGCUUUAAAUGAAAUCGCCUGCCGUUGAAACUGCCCAUAUGGGAGUAUUUAUGAGCAGUUUAUAGCGUAUUGUCGAUGCAGUUACAUUUUAUGCAUUGCGCGCUCGUAACAAUGCCGCAGUGGAACCAACGCCAUUGUAAAUAUCGAAAUACGGUUACAAUAUCAUUACAAAGUUUAAGCUUUAUUGAUUUUCACUAGCGAAGUGUAGAAAGGUAAUAGAUUGUUAUGUGACCAUCGCAGAGACUUUAAAAGAAUAGAAAGAAAGGUAAUAUAAAAGAAAAGAAAUAUAGGAACGGUAAUAUAGACUGGCAAGUAUAAAAGAAAAGGAAAAUAAUAACGGUGAUAUAGACGGGUGGAUUUCGAGUGAACAUCGCCGAUGGUUCAUAAAAUAAAAGAGCAAUAAAAUGUAAGAAAUGUAAGCAAGAAACGAAAAAGAAUUUUAGUUAAAAUCACAUAUUGCUAGGAAAAAUAAGAGAAAAUAGAGAUGACGUACACGUUAUAUCGUACUUAUAUUAUAAA